rnacentral:rRNA from 1 species
UUUGAUAGUACCUUACUACUUGGAUAACCGUGGUAAUUCUAGAGCUAAUACAUGCUGAAAACCCCAACUUCGGGAGGGGUGUAUUUAUUAGAUAAAAAACCAACGCCCUUCGGGGCUCUUUGGUGAUUCAUGAUAACUUAACGGAUCGCAUGGCCUUGCGCCGGCGACGGUUCAUUCAAAUUUCUGCCCUAUCAACUUUCGAUGGUAAGGUAUUGGCUUACCAUGGUUUCAACGGGUAACGGGGAAUUAGGGUUCGACUCCGGAGAGGGAGCCUGAGAAACGGCUACCACAUCCAAGGAAGGCAGCAGGCGCGCAAAUUACCCAAUCCCGACACGGGGAGGUAGUGACAAUAAAUACUGAUACAGGGCUCUUUUGGGUCUUGUAAUUGGAAUGAGUACAAUUUAAACCCCUUAACGAGGAACAAUUGGAGGGCAAGUCUGGUGGAUGUUAGCAUCUUGCUGGCGCCAGAGAUAGCCGGGUGGCCCCCCAAGGGGCUGCUACGCCGGCUAGUCGAGCACCCAUCUCUGAUAGGCGGGUGCCGGCGAGACAACCUGGAUCGGGGGAGGCUAAGGCGCCAGCGCUAUGCCAACCCCGAGCAGAGCCCGCGCGGAGCGAUCCGCGCAGUGGCCUGCGUAGAGCGCGGAAAGGUGUCGGUCGACUCCCGGAGUCGGCUUAAGGGACGCGCCAACCCCACCCGAAAGGGUGGCCGUCAGCCCAAGUGCCUAUCACACGAAGGCUGGCGGACCCUCGCACCCCAGCGUGAGCCCCGUAAGGGGCCCUGGGGGGUGUGCGGGGGAGCCGUAGAAGUGGCCAGCAGCCGCGGUAAUUCCAGCUCCAAUAGCGUAUAUUAAAGUUGUUGCAGUUAAAAAGCUCGUAGUUGAACCUUGGGCCUGGCUGGCCGGUCCGCCUCACCGCGUGUACUGGCCCGGCCGGGCCUUUCCUUCUGGAGAUCCGCAUGCCCUUUACUGGGUGUGUUGGGGAACCAGGACUUUUACUUUGAAAAAAUUAGAGUGUUCAAAGCAGGCCUUUGCUCGGAUACAUUAGCAUGGAAUAAUAGAAUAGGACGUGCGGUCCUAUUUUGUUGGUUUCUAGGACCGCCGUAAUGAUUAAUAGGGAUAGUCGGGGGCAUCAGUAUUCAAUUGUCAGAGGUGAAAUUCUUGGAUUUAUUGAAGACUAACUACUGCGAAAGCAUUUGCCAAGGAUGUUUUCAUUAAUCAGUGAACGAAAGUUAGGGGAUCGAAGACGAUCAGAUACCGUCGUAGUCUUAACCGUAAA